rnacentral:rRNA from 1 species
UAACCUGCCCAAGAGAUCGGGAUAACACCUGGAAACAGAUGCUAAUACCGGAUAACAACAGAUGAUGCCUAUCAACUGUUUAAAAGAUGGUUCUGCUAUCACUCUUGGAUGGACCUGCGGUGCAUUAGCUAGUUGGUAGGGUAACGGCCUGCCAAGGCGAUGAUGCAUAGCCGAGUUGAGAGACUGAUCGGCCACAUUGGGACUGAGACACGGCCCAAACUACUACGGGAGGCAGCAGGG